ACAUGUCACAUAAGUCAUAACAUAACAUUGGCGAUUGAAUUGAAAAGUAAAUAUGUAUUUGGAAUAGGUUUUUGAUAUGCUAUAAAAUGAGUAAAAUAUUUUCCAUUAAUAAUAUUCCUGAGUUUUCUCAAAAAGAGCGUAUUGUAGUUGUUGGCGUCAUUGGGAAAUCACCUUACCGUUAUCCCAAUAAAACUACUCCGCUUAUAUCAACUGUAAAAUGUGAAGAAAAUGGUAUAGAAUGCCACUGGGAUGAAAGAAAAAGCGUUCUAUAUCUCCAUGCAGUCACAUAUCUGGACACUAAGCGACUCACGUCAUUAGCUGACAAACUAGAUGAAAACUCAUAUAGUACAGUAAAAGAUGCAGAUGCAGCCGACUGGUUGGUUGCAUCUGGAGAGUUGGCGAUAGAGUCGUGCAAGGCAUUAGCAUUGAUCUUCCAUCUCUGUCACAUAGUGGUGUUGUCAUCACCAACAGCAGUAUUUGAUCUCGGUUAUCUGCAGUUGUUUAAGGCCAUUGAUGCUUACAGAGCCGAACUUGCUACUCAAACUGCAGAAGAAUUGCAAUCAUCAGAUGCGGGUGGUGCUUGGGAAACACAUGGUCGACCUUGCUGUCCUCGGCUUCUCUUCCACUUUCGUCGUGCUCCUACCCCUUUAAGGAAAGCACCAGCCGCUCUUAAGAGACUAGAACAUGCGGUUGAGGACCAGAUUUAUUUCAUUUUACGAAAAGCAAGGAUUAUUACUAAUGUUUGUGCUAAAUCAUUAUUCGCGAUCCCUAAGAAUGAAGAAUUUGUACACAUAAGUGCCGAAAGCGAGAGGGACUCCGCCCGCGACGUCAGCUCUCUCAUACGCGGGCUGGUGCAGCUGUGCACGGGGACGGAGUCCGAAGCGCCGCCGCAGAGGAGCUCCUUCAGACAAUUCUUACAAGGCCACUUGGACUUGGCUUUCGGUGAGGGCUUCGAUGAUAACGUCGGCAAGUAUGCCAUGAGCACAUCAUUCUUUGAGCUGCCGAGCGCGGCGUCGUGGCGCGCGGCGGCGCGGGCGCUGGCGCCGCUGUACCUGAGCGCGGCGGACGGCGACGAGCCCGGCGCGCUGUUCGACGCCCUAGCCACUGACGUACGAUUCUCGCAGGCCAGGUGUGCUAAGGUGCUGCCAAUCGCUCAAGCGUCGUAUGCCGAGGGCCUCCCGCCUCACUACUCCAGUCAACAUCACGCACACAAGGUGGGCGUGGCGCUGGGCGUGGUGGAGGCCAUGGCGCGCGGGCCGCUGGCGGGCGGCGCGCGGGCGCGGCUGCGCGCGGCGUGCGGCGCCGUGUGGCGCGCGCGCCGCCUGUGCGAGGCGCCCUCGCUCACCGCGCACCCCUGCAUACACCCGCAGCACGACAGCUCGAAGGAGCACUCGUCCGGCGUGCGCUACGUGAGUGCGUGUAACUGCGGCCGCAGCAAGUGCUCGCGCGAGGACCCAUACACCGUCAAGAAGGCCAACUACACGUUCUACACCUACGCCGCCGACGAGUGUGGAGUUUGCAACACACUGCAGACUAUCGACUUCCCUGUCUUUCAGCCUUCCACGCCCAGCUUUAGGGCCGCAUCCGUCAAGGGAGCACCGGACGAAGCAGCGGAGUACACGGAGAGCAGAGAGGUCGCGGAGGAGGAGUCGGCGGGGCUCACGUCGCCGCAGUCGGCGCGCGGCUCGUGGACGGCGCCCGACGAGCUGUCGCCGGGCUCCGAGCGCGACGACGACGACGACGAGUCGCCCUCCUGCGGCGACGGGCUGCACGUCGUCACCGUGCACGGCGACAGCGCGCCCGAAAAAGUAAUAAGCCGCCAGCCGUCGACGACGGAAUACCUACCGGGCAUGCUGCACUCGGGCAGCCCGGCCGCGCUGCUGCCCGCCUUCCCCAGCUGGGCGCUCGUGUGCCUGGGCGCGUCCUCGCUGUACUCGCACAACGCCGGCCUGCCCGAGCACCUGCAGCCCGGCUUCCUGCCGCACACCAACUACCUGCUGCCCUGGGACUGCGCCGUGCGCCUCGACGCCUGGCGCCCCCCGCGCCCGCGCCGCCCCCCGCACGCGCACCCGCAGCAGCACACGUCGCCGCCGCUCACCGUCAAGAUCUUCAUCGGCUUCGAGUACGAGUGCCCCAGGGGACACAGAUUCAUGAUGUCGUCCCCGGACACGGUGGUGAACGGCGGUGGGGGAGCGUGGGGUCGCGAGGCGAGCCAGGCGGGCGCCCGACUUGCCAACAGCACCAUGCCGCUGUACGCCUCCUGCCUGUGUCGCGCGCACGUGCUGGCGCAGCUCACGAGGCUGCAUGUCGUCACCCCCAAGGCGCCCGUGCACGUCACGCUGGACCCCAAGGUGCAGCCGGUGGCCGGCGGGCCCGUGUUCGUGCCGCAGCCGGCGGGCGAGGCGGCGGUGCGGCUGAGCGCGUCGGCGUACUGGGUGCUGCGGUUCCCGUACGUGUACGCGGACGAGCGCGGGGCGGCGCCGCGGCCGCGCUCGCCGUCCGACGCGCCCGGGUUCCUGCUCACGCCGCUCUUCGGCCUGCAGGAGUAAUGUCUCGUAGCCUAACUAGUGACGCGGCUUGCGGACGGUGCGCGGGCCUGGCACCGGAGUUCGAACGUAAUGUGUCGCGAAUUGCGCUCUGCGACCGUUUCUUAUCAGGCUAAGGAAGCAAUUUAAAAGCAGCUCUCAAAAUAAUCAUCGUUGGAUUUAAGAUACAUACAAUUUAUUUUGUUAGUAUGAAGACCUUGUCGUUAUAUUGUUUAACAAGAUAAAUAUGAAAAUAAAGUUUACUAAAUUGA